rnacentral:tRNA from 1 species
UGGCGUAGUGGUUAAGAGUUUGGCUGCUAACCAAAGGGUUGGUGGUUUGAAUCCACC